GCUAUUGGAGUUCGAUUAAGCCAUGCGAGUCGCGAGAAAUUAGAUUCUCGGCGUACCGCUCAGUAACACGUGGGUAACCUGCCCUAUGCUGGAUAAUAACCUCGGGAAACUGAGUAUAAUGAUCCAUAGUUCACUACGCCUGGAACGGUGAGUGGAUGAAAGCUCCGGCGGCAUAGGAUGGGCCUGCGGCGUAUCAGGUAGUAGGGGGUGUAACGUACCCUCUAGCCCUCUACGCGUACGGGUGUUGGGAGACAUAGCCCGGAGAUGGAUUCUGAGACACGAAUCCAGACCCUACGGGGUGCAGCAGGCGCGAAAACUUGGCAAUGCGAGAAAUCGUGACCAGGGAACUCCAAGUGCAUCGGGUAAGACCGGUGCUUUUCUUGACUCUAAAUAGGUCUUGGAAUAAGGGGUGGGUAAGGACGGUGCCAGCCGCCGCGGUAAUACCGGCGCCUCAAGUGGUAGUCGCUUUUAUUGGGCCUAAAACGUCCGUAGCCGGUCUGAUACAUUCGUGGGUAAAUCAACCAGCUCAACUGGUUGAAUUCUGCGAGGACGGUCAGACUUGGGACCGGGAGAGGUGUGGGGUACGCUCAGGGUAGGGGUAAAAUCCUGUCAUCCUGAGCGGACCACCUGUUGCGAAGGCGCCACACUAGAACGGAUCCGACGGUCAGGGACGAAGCCUAGGGGCACGAACCGGAUUAGAUACCCGGGUAGUCCUAGGUGUAAACGCUGUGGACUUGAUGUUGGGGGUGCUCCGAGCACUCUCAGUGUCGAAGCGAAGGUGAUAAGUCCACUGCCUGGGAAGUACGGUCGCAAGGCUGAAACUUAAAGGAAUUGGCGGGGGAGCACCGC
rnacentral:rRNA from 1 species